UACGAAGGUGGCAAGCGUUGUUCGGAUUUACUGGGCGUACAGGGAGCGUAGGCGGUUGGAUAAGCCCUCCGUGAAAUCUCCAGGCUUAACCUGGAAAGUGCAGAGGGGACUGUUCAGCUAGAGGAUGGGAGAGGAGCGCGGAAUUCCCGGUGUAGCGGUGAAAUGCGUAGAGAUCGGGAGGAAGGUCGGUGGCGAAGGCGGCGCUCUGGAACAUUUCUGACGCUGAGGCUCGAAAGCGUGGGGAGCAAACAGG
rnacentral:rRNA from 1 species